AACCCAACCGCAUGGGAUCAGAUCAAUUCUCCCCACCCCGACGGCCCCACCCACCGCUUCUCUCUCUGUUCCUACAAUGACCCACCGGUCAGCCCAGCCGGAGAACGCCGCCCGCUCCCCCGGCGUGCCGCCGCUGUAAUUCUUCCUCCUCCACCCAGAGCUGCACGUCCGCGCCUUGCCACCGAUGGAUCCCGCGCCCGAUCAGCUCUCUAUCUCCGCCUCUGCCCCGUUCCCCACCAUCCCGGCUGCCUCAAGCCCCAGGCCCCGCGCCGCGAGGACGCGGCGCCAUGCCGCGCCCUUCCGGUCGGACCACCCCACCGCCGGGAGCUGGCGCUCCGGGAUCGAUCUCCCGCGCCGUCCUUCGGCCUCCGCCUUUUCCCAGCAGGAGCGUUAUCCUUCCGUGGCCUCCUGGAGCGCCUCUCGCGACGCCAACUUUGUGUUCGGGAGCGGCGUGGCCGGUGCGCCGGAGAUGAGGAGGAGCUUCUCGUCUGGAUCCGGUGAGGCAUCGUUGGCUGAACUUUCGUACGCAGUUCACAGGUUCGCGUUGGACGGUUCUGGCAGGCCAAGCGACAUUGACGCUCCCGGAGGAGAAGGUACGCUUCCAGUGACAGACUCCGGUGGUCGCUUUGGGGCCCGUGGAUGCAGUUCCACUUUGUAUGAGGGCUUCUCUCUGGAUUCUAUUCACCAUCAGACUGAGCACCUCGAUGAAGAACGUGGAGUCCCGUCUCAAACCAUACAAUGCGAGAGUGUGGGGAUGCGAUCAUUAGCUUCACCAACCCGCACUGAUGAGAAUGCUCCCAUUGAAUUUGCAAAGAGAGGGGACAGCUUGCCCAUUCAAGAUUCUGUGGAUCAAAGUAGAAAUUCUGGACAUGAUGCUAAUGCCCACCAUGAUUUCUUUGUUUUUGGUGGACAUGCUGGGUCCAAUAGCUUCGCUACCAAUGCAACUCAAACUAAUACCAGUAAGGUACAUUCAGCUGAUAAAGAAACUGUAACAUGUAACUCUGAACAGCUAAAUACUUCAGUUUCUAAAGAUGGAAAUUGCAUCAAGUUCAUUUUGCAGGAUGCAAAGCAUGUGUUUGGUUCAAGUGACAAUGAUCUUCCAGGUUCGGAACCUUGUGAAAUUUCUACCACGGUGGAAACACCGGAUACUAUAACCUCUAGCUUUGGAUCUGAAGAUGGGAUCGUGACGGUUUCUUCCAUAAAGGUGCCUUGCAAUAUUGAAGUAGUACCAGCCUCAGAACUUGUUGAAUGUCAGCCAUUUGAUGAGAAAUCUUUCACCUUUGACGACCAAAAUGUACCAUAUAGGAACAAAGGAGGGGUUAAGGGUAUGGGCAUGAACAGAGGAGCUUUUAUGCCAAAUAAGUCCUCAGCAAACCAAGCUUCUUUUGAAUCAGUCUCAAGAAGCGGGCAUUGUUCUAAAAAAGUGUCUCCUGAAGAAAAGUUAAAUUUGAAAGAAGCCAGUAGCUCUUUGCAAACAACAGAAAGUGGGCAUGCUGAAGCAGAGUUUACGUCUGCAGCAAAUACGGAACAUUCUGGUCAAUCCGAUUUCAUAUUUUCUGCAUCAACUUUCCAUCAAAGCAUGUUGCACCCGCAAAGACGACAUAACAAGAAAAAAAGUGGAGGAAUGGGUAAUCAUGCUAGCUCUAUUCAAAGUCUCCCUUCAUCCGCCAUUGGACUCGCAUGCUCAGAAGUCUCAGGAAGUCAGCAAUGUGUGGAUUUAGCUGCCAAGUGGACUGAAUACAACAAAAUAGAACCUAACAGGGUUGCAAUCAGCAGAGGAGCCAGAUGCUCAACAUCAGAAAACUUUGGAGACCAUGACAAUUGUGAAACAUGGCGAUUAAGGGGAAACCAAGCAUAUGCAGAAGGAUUGUUAACUAAGGCUGAAGAAUGCUAUACCCAUGGGAUUGAUUCUUUUUCUCCAAAUGAAGUUUCAAGAAAAGCAUUAAUGCUGUGCUACAGCAAUCGAGCAGCUACUCGGAUGUCUCUGGGUAAGAUGAGAGAUGCCCUAUCUGAUUGUCAAGAAGCCAUUGAUAUUGAUUCCAGUUUUCUCAAGGCACACGCCAGAGCCGCCAACUGCCUACUUGCCCUGGGGGAUGUUGAAGAAGCACAAAAGGCUUUUGAGAUGUGUUUAAAGUCUAAUCAUCUAUCAAGCUUGGACCAUAAAAUUGUAGAAGAGGCUUCUGAUGGUCUACAAAAAGCUAAGAAAAUAUCUGGUUUAAUUAGUCAUUCUGAGGAGUAUCUUAUAAAGAAAGCAUUUGACAAGAUACCCAGUGCCUUACAAAUGAUCUCUGAUGCUUUGUCCAUAAGUAUUUAUUCAGAUAAGUUAAUGGAGAUGAAAGCAGAAGCACUGUUACUGUUGCAGCGAUAUGAAGAAGUAAUUCGGUUUUGCGAAGAAACUCUUUAUGUAGCAGAAAGAAAUAGUGUGUGUUUGUGUCUUGACAAGCAGUCAGAAAGCAAUAACAUGGUCAACAAUACUUGCUUUGUGAAAUUGUGGCGUUAUCAUCUUAUUGCUAAGUCAUAUUUCUUCCUUGGAAAGCUUGAAGAGGCUAACCAGUUCUUAAAGAAGAAUGAUCAAAUAAAAGUCAUGGGGUGCAGGUGUGGGAAUCAAUCUCAGGACUCAAUUUUAUCAUUCUCCAUGGCUAUCUCUGAACUAUUGCGGCUUAAAGUACGUCAUAUGCUAGCCUUGGGCUACUAAUCUAUCUACCCAUGCAUUUUCAGCAUUCUCUUUGCCCUGCGAUGUUGUUAUAUAUCAUGCUGCUGGCAAUGAAGCAUUCCAAUCUGGUAAAUAUUUGGAGGCUGUGGAACAUUAUACUGCUGCUUUGAUGAGCAAUAGCGAGUCCCUACGCUUUUUAGCAGUCUGCUUUUGUAACCGUGCAGCAGCAUAUCAAGCAAUGGGUCAAAUUUUAGAUGCAAUUGCAGAUUGUUCACUGGCUAUAGCCCUUGAUGCAGAUUAUGCUAAGGCUAUUUCCAGAAGGUCUAGUUUGUAUGAACUUAUAAGGGACUAUGGCCAGGCAGCAAAUGAUCUCCGUAGGUUGAUUGCUCUUCUUGAGAAACAACUGCAAGAAGAUAUGACCAUGCCAGUAGAGAGGUCUGAGAGUAUUCGUAACAAUCUGAAUCGAGCCAAUCUUCGGUUUUCUUCUUUGGAGCGGGAUGCCAGAAAAGGGGCUUCAUUAAAUAUGUAUUUGAUAUUAGGAAUUGAGUCUUCUUCCUCUGCUGUGGAUAUAAAGAAGGCCUACCGCAAAGCAGCACUAAGACAUCAUCCAGACAAAGCCAGUAACUUUCUUGUCAGAAGUGAAAAUAUCAGUGAUGCUGUAUGGAGAGAUAUAACAAAUGAAAUACGCAGGGAUGCUGAUUAUUUAUUCAAAAUAAUUGGGAAGGCAUAUGCUAUGCUUUCAGACCCUACAACGAGAAGGGAAUGAUAACCUGGAGGUGGAGUGAUAGAAAAGCAGUGCACAUGUAACAUGAGCAGCGGGAGCAAUGAAAAUGAUGACAGGACCUCUUAGUGAGAGCAUUUAAUCAUGAAGUUGGUACCGCACAAAGCUACCAUACUGGAGAGGUCCUAUGUGAAAUUUUGUGUGCUCUCACCAACGAUAUGAUGCCACUGGUGUUGUCCAAUACCUAAUCACAAAUGUCAGUCGGAACAUGUCCCACUUUUCUGACUGAGUGCUAAUACCGUUACCCCCGGGGAGCAGUGGAUCUUUGUGUUCAUGCCUGAUCACUGUUUCGUGUUCUCUGAUGUUCCAUUUGGAUAUGCAGAUUGCAUGAGUCUGAGCACCCGUGCAAAAGGCUAGUUUUUUUGUUUGUGAAGUUGAUGUCAAUAUAUCAGGUGCUGUGCAUAGUAGCUUGGAGCAGUUCGAGUGGAAUCAACAAGAGUGGAUAGUGUAAAUAGAGGUACACGUUUCUUGUACACCCCCUCACUCCACAUUUGCAGGAGUGGCCGAAGCAAAUGUUUUGUGGUAUUUUUUUUUGUACAUUAUAGCUUUGUAUAGGAAGUAUCAGGAUUUGUGUUUUCCCUCUUCCUGCUGUCUUCAUUAAAAUUAUGUGUGUUUGUGUACUUCUUUAAAGUGUGGCAUUUGUAUAAUUCUUAACCAAAGAGAAGGUUGAGCGAUUCAUUUGUUGCAA